rnacentral:lncRNA from 1 species
GUCAUUAAGCCUUGGCACAAGCAGUGCAAAGGACGUUCAGGGCAUAGUUGUACUAACUUAUCUGGGUAAAGAGAAAGCUGUUCCUUUAAACUGUGUUUGCUGUGACUCUGGAAACUAAGCAAACAAAAUCUGAGGCACACUUUACUCUCAAGCAGAACUGACAGGAAGGUACAAGGACCGAAGGACAGUGAACUUCUGUAGGACAUACCUGCCUCUGGAUCCACAACUGAAUUGCAAAUCCGUGACAAUCUGGGGGAGUUUAAUUCAGAUUUUUGGAAUACCUCAUCCCGAUGGCAAAUGAGAGACUGGCUCAGCCCCUGAAUGUCAGAUUGCUACUUUGGUCUCCAUGUCCUCCAAGGAAGUGUUUGCCUGCAAAGCACAUUCAGCUGUAAUUCAGAUAAAGCUGAUGGAGUUCUGGAGGCUACCUGUCUUCUGCUGCUCUGCUGCUGAUCCACCAUCUCAGUUGCUAUAGAAACAAGCUCUGGAAGCCAUGGAGGAGCAUGGGAGAGAAGCCACCCACAGGCUCUCCACUGGUGGGCUCUGGCAGGGCCAUUCUCAGCACAUACUGAGAGAGUCAGGUUCAGUCUCUGAAGGUGAGGAAGAGUCAGCAGGUGCUAACCCAGUGAUGCACGAGGGGGACUUGAAAACACAGUACAUUGCUAUUCAAAGAAAUUCCAGGUACUACCGAUCCAUGAGGAUGCCAAACAGAGGGAAAAGAAAGACUUCGAGAGAGGCAAUGCACAUGCAGCAUGCUACAGGUUCCCUCAAAAACUGUGAGCCCAUCAAAGAGCCUCUGAAUGUUUUACCACAUAAGGGAUCACCAUCUCCAGCAAACUCUGAUCCAACAACAUUAGAUGAAUUAUUGAUCCAAAGGGCAUUUAGCAUGUUUAAGAACCUGAGUGACCAGAGAAAGCAGAGCAGCUCCAGGAAGAGACUGACCUGCCCUGGAACAAGCAGUAACAUGUGGGAUGCAAUAAUACAUCUCUGACUCUGACCUGGAUCCCCCACUCCCAGCAUGAAGAUCACAAUCACCAGACCACUCUGAC